UACGUAGGUGGCAAGCGUUGUCCGGAAUCACUGGGCUUAAAGGGCGCGUAGGCGGGCUGCCAAGUUUGGGGUGAAAUCCUCCGGCUCAACCGGAGCAGUGCCUCGAAUACUGGCGGUCUCGAGGGAGGUAGGGGCGUGCGGAACUGUGGGUGGAGCGGUGAAAUGCGUUGAUAUCCACAGGAACUCCGGUGGCGAAGGCGGCACGCUGGACCUUUUCUGACGCUGAGGCGCGAAAGCCAGGGGAGCGAACGGG
rnacentral:rRNA from 1 species